GCCGUCAUAAAAGCAAAGUCAAACUGGCUGACCACCUGCCUCUUGAACUUUGCAGACGAGAUGAAGUUCAGGGCCGGCCAUGGGUGCUGUGGCUUCACGAAGCACGGGUAUCGCUGGGUCUUUCCUUUACCAUUGCUGAUAAUCCCCCCGCCUGGAACCUGAGGAUGAGUCAUCCCAGCCUAAAAGCAAGCCCAAGGCAGAUGGCGGUGCCCAUCCCAACCCAAAGCAGGGCUGCAGGCGGUACUGCUAUCACGGCGUUGACGGAAGAAGGAAAGCCAUGUGUCUGUAGAUCCCACCGGAUCUGCAGACGGGCGGUGGAAUGCAAACGCUCCGUCACUGAGAAAUGGCUGCCAGGAGCCGACAGCAUAUGUGACUUCCACCGGGUUCCUUCUGUGUCAGCCACAUUGGCAUGGUGCCCUCUUCUCUUCAAAGGGGAGGGCCAGAGGGCUCCCAUCUUGCUCAUGGAACUCCCAGAGAAAACAUGCUGCAUCUUAGAGAUAACAAUCCAGUAAUGAUAACAAGAGCAAUCAUUGCUGCUGAGGCGCUUUAUAUGACUGACCUGUUGAAUCCCCAUAAGAAGGUUCUAUUAUCACUCCCAUUUCACUAUGAGAAAAUAGAUUUGAAAAUGAUCCUUUCUACCAGGAGAGUAGGGGGCAAAAAAGACUCCUGGGACUCGGGAAAGAAGAUUGUUCAAUUUUCUGUUCUUGUUUGCAAGCUGGGUUACUUUCACGGGAGAGGUGCAAGACCUGAGGACCAUUAUUCACCAACGUAAACAGCAAUGAAGCACCUACUGUGAGAAUAGCAUCAAGCUAACCCACGAGGAAUGCACAGCGGGUGCUGUCCACACACGCUCACAAUCCAGGCGGGCUACAAAGUCCCCGAGCAUGUUUCAGAGGCUCACCCAUGCGGCAGUGCACGUCCUUUCACGGCUUCAUCCCUGUCUACGGCUGAACAUACCUGUUGUGUGGACAUGCCACAUUUUUGCAUUCAUUUUCUUCAUUCACCAGUUGAUGGACAAUGAGUUGUUUCCACUUUUUGGCCAUUAGGAAUAACACUGCAGUGAGCAUUCACCUACAAGUUUUUGUUUGGACGUGUUUUCUGUUCUCUUGGGCGUGGAAUUCCUGGGUUAUACGGUAACUCAAUGUUUAACUUUCUGGGAGAUGCUUUUCCACAGCGGCUGCACCCUUUCACGUUCCCGCCAGCAAUGUCCAAGGGAAGCGCCUUAACCUUAAAAUGCAGUUUCCGUGGCCAGGAGGAUGAGUGACUUGCACGACGUCCCAACAGAACUAGAACCACAAGCAAGACUCCCGACGUUGUGCCGGUGCUCCUGUUACCAACAGCCCUGCUGAGAGGCCAAGGGGAGAUGCCGUGACCCAGCUUCUGGAAGGUCUACUCCACUAAAGUGAACUCUUCCAAUAACACGCUGGUUUUAACACAAACGCUCAGAACAGUAAGACCACUGGUUAAGCCCAUUUUUAAGGCACUUUUCUGAGAGAUAAGCCUUGACUCUUUCCCCUUCUUCCUAGACCUUGUUCUAUUUCACGCCCAUGUCAUUCCUUACCCAGGCCUUCAGGAAGGCAGCCCCAGCUCUCCCUGCCUCCUGUUUCCCCCGCUGCCCUGACAGCUGUAGCCUGCUGUCCCCAGCCAACCGUCCACCCAAAGAGCAGGCACAUGGUUCUUCUGCUGUGAUGACAUCCGUGAUUUCUCAGAGUCCAAACCUUCCCAACUCGGGCCCCACUGCCCUUUCCAGCUACUAUCCACACCCCCAACUCACUUUGUGCUCAAGCCAAGGUCAAAAGAACUGACCAUCUCAACGUGCCCAGUAUCUUCCUGCUUUCAUGAUUUUUCCAAAUUAGUGUUAAUCCAAAAAACAAUACUGGGAGCCUCCUCUGUGCCAGCCCGGGGGUUCAAAUGAGCACAUUUCCUGCCUUCAAAGAUUGAACUCGCAGCUAAGUAGCGAAGCUCCCGCUGAGCAAAUAACAAGAGGGCCUCCAGCCGGCCGCUGAAUGCCAGCAUUCAGAGGACGCCCCGUAGCCCAGAUUCAGUGCCCUCUGCGCGAACUGCCACUAAGGUGCAGAUUUGGGUUCAGUAGGUCUUGGGUGGAGGUGAGAUUGUGCAUUUCAGCAGGCUCCCAGGUGCAUGCCACAGACCACAAACUGAGCAGCACGUAAUCAGCACACAGACUUGUUGGCCGGACAAGAACUGCUCCUGGAACACACACUUAUGGAGCACACCCUUCCCCUGCUGCCUGGUGCUCGUGAAAGGACUUCUCGUCUCGUGGCAUGGGGUCCGCAGUGAAGGGGAGGAAAAUGCUCCUUGACUAAACCCCUUAUCUUCUGUGGAAAUGCACACCUUUGUCGAGGCAGAAUGGCAAGCAAGUCCAGAUCCUUUGGAUGGACACUGAGUAACAGGGCAAAGAACCAAUCUGUCCGCAGUGUAUUAACGAAUGUCCUUGGGAG
ensembl:lncRNA